CCUACGGGGUGCAGCAGUGGGGAAUAUUGGGCAAUGGGCGCAAGCCUGACCCAGCAACGCCGCGUGAAGGAAGAAGGCUUUCGGGUUGUAAACUUCUUUUCUCAGGGACGAAGAAAGUGACGGUACCUGAGGAAUAAGCCACGGCUAACUACGUGCCAGCAGCCGCGGUAAUACGUAGGUGGCAAGCGUUAUCCGGAUUUAUUGGGUGUAAAGGGCGAGUAGGCGGGAGCGCAAGUCAGAUGUGAAAACUCAGGGCUCAACCCUGAGCCUGCAUUUGAAACUGUGUGUCUUGAGUGCUGGAGAGGCAAUCGGAAUUCCGUGUGUAGCGGUGAAAUGCGUAGAUAUACGGAGGAACACCAGUGGCGAAGGCGGAUUGCUGGACAGUAACUGACGCUGAGGCGCGAAAGCGUGGGGAGCAAACAGGAGUAGAUACCCGGGUAGUC
rnacentral:rRNA from 1 species